rnacentral:rRNA from 1 species
GAUGAACGCUGGCGGCGUGCUUAACACAUGCAAGUCGAACGGAAAGGCCCUGCUUUUGUGGGGUGCUCGAGUGGCGAACGGGUGAGUAACAAGUGAGUAACCUGCCCUUGACUUUGGGAUAACUUCAGGAAACUGGGGCUAAUACCGGAUAGGAGCUCCUGCUGCAUGGUGGGGGUUGGAAAGAUUCGGCGGUUGGGGAUGGACGCGCGGCUUACCAGCUUGUUGGUGGGGUAGUGGCUUACCAAGGCUUUGACGGGUAGCCGGCCUGGGAGGGUGACCGGCCACAUUAGGACUGCGGUACGGCCCAGACUGCUACGGGAGGCAGCGGUGGAGAAUAUUGCACAAUGGGCGGAAGCCUGAUGCAGCGACGCCGCGUGCGGGAUGACGGCCUUCGGGUUGUAAACCGCUUUCGCCUGUGACGAAGCGUGAGUGACGGUAAUGGGUAAAGAAGCACCGGCUAACUACGUG